AUAGCUUUAAGUAAGAAAUCUCUACAGAUUAUUAAUAUGUACGCCCCUCUAGGCUAGUAUUUGAGAGAAAGAGAGAGAGGGAGAGAGAGAAAGAAAGGCCCAUAGCUAGAGGCAGAGAGUGUGACACAAAGAGAGGAGACAAAGAAACCAUGAAGUCAUAAGUGUCUCUCAACAGAGCCUGGGUGCAUUCUACUGCCGACAGUACUACAUGGAAUGUGGAGAUGGAUGAUGAGUAAAGGAAUAUAUGUGGAUUUGUAUGUGGAGUUUAUCUCCUUUAUUCCUCUCUCCUAGUUCCCUUAGUGGGAAGUAUUCUGGUACUGUUUCUUUCAUUUAACAACUUGUCUGUUUUGACGAAGACAAAUCCACUUCAACUUUUUGUGGCCCUUAGGGAAAUACUCUAUAUCUGGUGGUAAAACUGGUUGGUUUUAUUAAAGCCACUGUGCAAUCUCUGCUGAAGGAAGAAAAUUAUAUUUUCCUACAUUGAAGAUUGAAUAAGAGAAAAAAAUCUGAAUGGGGAAUCACUAUGUCAUCCAGGCUGUCACGAACUCCUGGGCUCAAGAGAUCCUCCUGCUUCAGCCCCCCAAGCAGCUGAGACAACAGGUGUGAGCCACCAUGCCCAGCUCCCAGUAUGCUGUUUUAUAUGUUAUAUCUUUUGAGUGUAUUUGGUACUAUGAACAAUGUCCCCUCCUCAUUACUCUUCCUACUCAAAAAUAUUUUGGCAAU